rnacentral:rRNA from 1 species
UACGUAGGGGGCAAGCGUUGUCCGGAUUUAUUGGGCGUAAAGAGCGUGUAGGCGGCCGUACAGGUCAGCUGUGAAAACUCGAGGCUCAACCUCGAGACGUCGGUUGAAACCGUACGGCUAGAGUCCGGAAGAGGAGAGUGGAAUUCCCGGUGUAGCGGUGAAAUGCGCAGAUAUCGGGAAGAACACCCGUGGCGAAGGCGGCUCUCUCGGG